UACAGCCAUAUCACAUUGAAACACUAGUUCUCGUAUGAUCACUGAAGUUAAGCAAUAUCAAACCUGGUCAAUACUUAGAUGGGUGACCACUUGGGUAUACCACGUGCUGUAAG